rnacentral:rRNA from 1 species
UACGUAGGGUGCAAGCGUUAAUCGGAAUUACUGGGCGUAAAGCGUGCGCAGGCGGUGAUGUAAGACAGGUGUGAAAUCCCCGGGCUUAACCUGGGAACUGCAUUUGUGACUGCAUCGCUGGAGUGCGGCAGAGGGGGAUGGAAUUCCGCGUGUAGCAGUGAAAUGCGUAGAUAUGCGGAGGAACACCGAUGGCGAAGGCAAUCCCCUGGGCCUGCACUGACGCUCAUGCACGAAAGCGUGGGGAGCAAGCAGG